UGCGUUUUUAUUGGCUUGAAAAGGAUAACCCAACAGCAGCGUGGGGUGAAGGGGUCCUCGGCCUUGUCUUCACAGAGCUCCGCCCCACAGCGAUGUCGUGGCCCUCAGGCAGCAGCACUCCCUCCUCAUGCACUCCAUGGGGCCCGUGGUCCUCAGGCUCUGAGGCCCUUCUCGGGUCUUCGCUGCAGUGCUGCAGCUUUAGAAUCACUCCACCUCCAUUCUCAGCGCUCCUCAUGAUGGGGCUCCGGGCUGUGGGGCUGGGACAGGCAGAGCUCAGCCUCCAGCAGAGGACGGCCAUAUGGGGGUGGAGUGGCACUCUGGGUGAGCGCAGCCAUCCCACACAUCUCCAAGAGGAACCAUUGUCGAGGAGAGAACCAGAGUCAUAACGCGUCGCGCGACCAACCGCCCCGCAGCCCAACCUCCCCCUCUCAC
rnacentral:lncRNA from 1 species